rnacentral:rRNA from 1 species
GACGGAGGGGGCAAGCGUUGUCCGGAAUUACUGGGCGUAAAGCGCGCGUAGGUGGUCGUGUGCGUCGGUGCUGAAAGCGCCGGGCUUAACCCGGCGAGGUGUGCCGAUACGACACGACUUGAGGCAGGGAGAGGGUAGCGGAAUUCCGGGUGUAGUGGUGAAAUGCGUAGAGAUCCGGAGGAACGCCAGUGACGAAGGUGGCUACCUGGCCCUGGCCUGACACUGAGGCGCGAUAGCGUGGGGAGCGAACCGG